UGACAUAAACAAAAACACAAAAACAAAAAAAAAAUUGGAAGAAAUUACCAGAGAUAUUAUAUUAUUGUGUGGAAUAUUGUUACAUUUUUUCAGCUCUUCACUUAUUUUAUUUUUAAAAGGUUUUGGUUUUUAUAUGAACUACAUUCACUGGUGGAACCAAGCAGAAAAGAAAGAUGCAUGUAUUUGUGUUAUGUGUAUGUCGUU
rnacentral:ribozyme from 1 species